rnacentral:rRNA from 1 species
UUAAGUGACUAAGCGUACACGGUGGAUGCCUAGGCAGUCAGAGGCGAUGAAGGGCGUGCUAAUCUGCGAAAAGCGUCGGUAAGGUGAUAUGAACCGUUAUAACCGGCGAUACCCGAAUGGGGAAACCCAGUGCAAUUCGUUGCACUAUCGUUAAGUGAAUACAUAGCUUAACGAGGCGAACCGGGGGAACUGAAACAUCUAAGUACCCCGAGGAAAAGAAAUCAACCGAGAUUCCCCCAGUAGCGGCGAGCGAACGGGGAGGAGCCCAGAACCUGAAUCAGUUCUUGUGUUAGUGGAAGCGUCUGGAAAGUCGCGCAGUAAAGGGUGAUAGCCCCGUACACUAAAAUGCAUUNNNNNNNNNNNNNNNNNNNNNNNNNUAGUUGCAAGGUAUAGACCCGAAACCCGGUGAUCUAGCCAUGGGCAGGUUGAAGGUUGGGUAACACUAACUGGAGGACCGAACCGACUAAUGUUGAAAAAUUAGCGGAUGACUUGUGGCUGGGGGUGAAAGGCCAAUCAAACCGGGAGAUAGCUGGUUCUCCCCGAAAGCUAUUUAGGUAGCGCCUCGUGAACUCAUCUUCGGGGGUAGAGCACUGUUUCGGCUAGGGGGCCAUCCCGGCUUACCAAACCGAUGCAAACUCCGAAUACCGAAGAAUGUUAUCACGGGAGACACACGGCGGGUGCUAACGUCCGUCGUGAAGAGGGAAACAACCCAGACCGCCAGCUAAGGUCCCAAAGUCAUGGUUAAGUGGGAAACGAUGUGGGAAGGCAUAGACAGCCAGGAUGUUGGCUUAGAAGCAGCCAUCAUUUAAAGAAAGCGUAAUAGCUCACUGGUCGAGUCGGCCUGCGCGGAAGAUGUAACGGGGCUAAACCAUGCACCGAAGCUGCGGCAGCGACGCUUAGGCGUUGUUGGGUAGGGGAGCGUUCUGUAAGCCGUUGAAGGUGGCCUGUGAGGGUUGCUGGAGGUAUCAGAAGUGCGAAUGCUGACAUAAGUAACGAUAAAGCGGGUGAAAAGCCCGCUCGCCGGAAGACCAAGGGUUCCUGUCCAACGUUAAUCGGGGCAGGGUGAGUCGACCCCUAAGGCGAGGCCGAAAGGCGUAGUCGAUGGGAAACAGGUUAAUAUUCCUGUACUCGGUGUUACUGCGAAGGGGGGACGGAGAAGGCUAGGCUAGCCGGGCGACGGUUGUCCCGGUUUAAGCGUGUAGGGGGAGUGACCCGGUAAAUCCGGUUGCUUAUUCAACCCUGAGGCGUGAUGACGAUGCACCACGGUGCAGAAGUAGUUGAUGCCAAGCUUCCAGGAAAAGCCUCUAAGCAUCAGGUAACACAGAAUCGUACCCCAAACCGACACAGGUGGUCAGGUAGAGAAUACCAAGGCGCUUGAGAGAACUCGGGUGAAGGAACUAGGCAAAAUGGUGCCGUAACUUCGGGAGAAGGCACGCUGGCGCGUAGGUGAAGUCCCUUGCGGAUGGAGCUGAAGCCAGUCGCAGAUACCAGCUGGCUGCAACUGUUUAAUAAAAACACAGCACUGUGCAAACACGAAAGUGGACGUAUACGGUGUGACGCCUGCCCGGUGCUGGAAGGUUAAUUGAUGGGGUCAGCCGCAAGGCGAAGCUCUUGAUCGAAGCCCCAGUAAACGGCGGCCGUAACUAUAACGGUCCUAAGGUAGCGAAAUUCCUUGUCGGGUAAGUUCCGACCUGCACGAAUGGCGUAAUGAUGGCCAGGCUGUCUCCACCCGAGACUCAGUGAAAUUGAACUCGCUGUGAAGAUGCAGUGUACCCGCGGCAAGACGGAAAGACCCCGUGAACCUUUACUAUAGCUUGACACUGAACAUUGAGCCUUGAUGUGUAGGAUAGGUGGGAGGCUUUGAAGCGUGGACGCCAGUCUGCGUGGAGCCAACCUUGAAAUACCACCCUUUAAUGUUUGAUGUUCUAACUCGGCCCCNGGGGUGAGGACAGUGUCUGGUGGGUAGUUUGACUGGGGCGGUCUCCUCCCAAAGAGUAACGGAGGAGCACGAAGGUUAGCUAAUCACGGUCGGACAUCGUGAGGUUAGUGCAAAGGCAUAAGCUAGCUUGACUGCGAGAGUGACGGCUCGAGCAGGUACGAAAGUAGGUCUUAGUGAUCCGGUGGUUCUGAAUGGAAGGGCCAUCGCUCAACGGAUAAAAGGUACUCCGGGGAUAACAGGCUGAUACCGCCCAAGAGUUCAUAUCGACGGCGGUGUUUGGCACCUCGAUGUCGGCUCAUCACAUCCUGGGGCUGAAGUAGGUCCCAAGGGUAUGGCUGUUCGCCAUUUAAAGUGGUACGCGAGCUGGGUUUAGAACGUCGUGAGACAGUUCGGUCCCUAUCUGCCGUGGGCGUUGGAAGAUUGAGAGGGGUUGCUCCUAGUACGAGAGGACCGGAGUGAACGCACCACUGGUGUUCGGGUUGUCAUGCCAAUGGCACUGCCCGGUAGCUAAGUGCGGAAAAGAUAAGCGCUGAAAGCAUCUAAGCGCGAAACUUGCCUCGAGAUGAGUCUUCCCUGGGCCUUUAAG